rnacentral:rRNA from 1 species
CUUAGUAACGGCGAGUGAAGCGGUAAAAGCUCAAAUUUGAAAUCUGGUACUUUCAGUGCCCGAGUUGUAAUUUGUAGAAUUUGUCUUUGAUUAGGUCCUUGUCUAUGUUCCUUGGAACAGGACGUCAUAGAGGGUGAGAAUCCCGUUUGGCGAGGAUACCUUUUCUCUGUAAGACUUUUUCGAAGAGUCGAGUUGUUUGGGAAUGCAGCUCAAAGUGGGUGGUAAAUUCCAUCUAAAGCUAAAUAUUGGCGAGAGACCGAUAGCGAACAAGUACAGUGAUGGAAAGAUGAAAAGAACUUUGAAAAGAGAGUGAAAAAGUACGUGAAAUUGUUGAAAGGGAAGGGCAUUUGAUCAGACAUGGUGUUUUUUGCAUGCACUCGCCUCUCGUGGGCUUGGGCCUCUCAAAAAUUUCACUGGGCCAACAUCAAUUCUGGCAGCAGGAUAAAUCAUUAAGAAUGUAGCUACUUCGGUAGUGUUAUAGCUUUUUGGAAUACUGUUAGCCGGGAUUGAGGACUGCGCUUCGGCAAGGAUGUUGGCAUAAUGGUUAAAUGCCGCCCGUCUUGAAACACGGACCAA